rnacentral:rRNA from 1 species
CCUACGGGAGGCAGCAGUGAGGAAUAUUGGUCAAUGGGCGGGAGCCUGAACCAGCCAAGCCGCGUGAGGGAAGAAGGUACAGCGUAUCGUAAACCUCUUUUGUCAGGGAACAAAGGCGGGGACUAGUCCCCGGAUGAGGGUACCUGAAGAAAAAGCAUCGGGUAACUCCGUGCCAGCAGCCGCGGUAAUACGGAGGAUGCGAGCGUUAUCCGGAUUUAUUGGGUUUAAAGGGUGCGCAGGCGGCCUGUUAAGUCAGCGGUAAAAGCCCGGGGCUCAACCCCGGCGAGCCGUUGAAACUGGCGGGCUUGAGUUGGAGAGAAGUACGCGGAAUGCGCGGUGUAGCGGUGAAAUGCUUAGAUAUCGCGCAGAACCCCGAUUGCGAAGGCAGCGUACCGGCUCCACACUGACGCUGAGGCACGAAAGCGUGGGUAUCGAACAGGAUUAGAUACCCCAGUAGUC